rnacentral:rRNA from 1 species
AACGAACGCUGGCGGCAUGCCUAACACAUGCAAGUCGAACGAGAUCUUCGGGUCUAGCGGCGCACGGGUGCGUAACGCGUGGGAAUCUGCCCUUUGGUUCGGAAUAACAGUUGGAAACGACUGCUAAUACCGGAUGAUGACGGAAGUCCAAAGAUUUAUCGCCAGAGGAUGAGCCCGCGUAGGAUUAGCUAGUUGGUGUGGUAAAGGCGCACCAAGGCGACGAUCCUUAGCUGGUCUGAGAGGAUGAUCAGCCACACUGGGACUGAGACACGGCCCAGACUCCUACGGGAGGCAGCAGUGGGGAAUAUUGGACAAUGGGCGAAAGCCUGAUCCAGCAAUGCCGCGUGAGUGAUGAAGGCCUUAGGGUUGUAAAGCUCUUUUACCCGGGAUGAUAAUGACAGUACCGGGAGAAUAAGCUCCGGCUAACUCCGUGCCAGCCGCCGCUGUAA